UUCCCAGGUGCAGUGGUCAGGGACUUGGCAGGUGACACUAACCAGCCUCCCUGAAGCCCAGGGAGAUGGCUGUCAGUGGGCGUGGCCUCAUCUGAUGAACUCCUAAAAGGAACUCGGCUCCUCCUGCGGCCUGAGGAUGAUUCCACCCGUGGGGGGCGCUUUGCUGUUGACCUUGAAGGUGCACAUCCAUGCCACAUAGCAAGGAACAUCCCAUACCACAUAGCAAGGAACAGCAGAUGGCCUCUGAAACCGAGAGCAGUCCCUGCCCAUAGCCAGGAAGGUACCAGGGACACUAAAACCUCAUUGCUAGAGUCGCAUGGAAAUGGGUACCACUCCAAUCUGAAUGAGCUCCAAACACGGAGCACGACCCAGCCCAGCCAACACCUGAGUUCAGUCUUGGGAAGCCUGCAGCUGUUCCGGAUUCUUGACCCACAGAAAGAGACAGCACCUUCGUGGGUGCCGUUUCAGGGUUCAGCGUGAAAAAGGAACAGUCCUCCGAGCAGAUGCGUUAGCCCUGCCCGUUCCGUCCUGGUUCCAAUCCAUCAUCACGGGAGAUCCAAGGAGCACAAAUUUGAAGCAGCUAAUCGCGGCGUAUCCACAAUCGGGAGCCGAGAGUGGUGCUGUAUCACGGUGCAUGUGAUGAUCAGAGACAACUUGCAAGAGUCAUCUCUCUUCUUCCAUCGGGUGGGACCUGGGGGUUGACUUCAGGUCACUAGGACUGAUGGCAAGGCCCUUUGCCAGUGAGCCAUCUUGUUAGUCCUGAAGAUAAUACUUUUAUACGCAGAAGGGGAGUCAAAACUUUGAAAUGAAACCGGCAGAGGUGGUGGCAACCACCUUUAAUCCCAGCACUGGGGAGACAGAGCCAGGCAGAUCGCUGUGAGUUCGAGGCCAGCCUGGUCUAUAGAGAUAGUUCCAGGGCAGCCAGCGCUACACAGAGAAACUGUGUCUCAGAAAAAAACCAAAACAACAACAAAAAGUUUGAUGAUGGGGCUGUCCUUCUGUGUAUAUGUUUCUCUUAUGAUGAAUAAAAAACUAUGUGACUAGUGGCCAGGUAGCAGGGAUAGGCAAGGCUACCAGAGGAGGACAAUUCUGGGAAGUGUAGGCAGACAGGAGUUCUGAUGAUAGCCCAGGAAGAGAGACGUGCAAGGUGUUCUCCGGUAAGCCAAGACCACAUAGAAAUACACAGAUCAAGAGAAAUGGGUUAAUAAUUAAGACAGAGCUAGCCAAUAAGAAGCCCAAGGCACUGGCCAACAGUUUUAUAAUUAAUAUGUUUUGUGUGUUUAUUUGAGGGCUCUCAAGGGCAGCAGGACUCUGCCAGGACAAAGAACCUCUCAUAACACUCACUUUGAAAUGAGGCUGGAGGUGUAGCUCAGUUGGUAGAGUUCUAGUCUGGCGUGCACGAAGCACUGGGUUGGAUCACCUGCCCUGCGUAACUUAGAUGCAAUGAUCCCAGCAUUCAGGAGGUAGAGGGAGGAAGAUCUGAAAUUCAAGCUUAUCCUUGGCAACACAGUGUUUUAGAGGCUAGCCAAAAAUAAAUGAGGCUGACAGGGUGA